AACGAACGCUGGCGGCGUGCUUAACACAUGCAAGUCGAACGAGAAAGCGGGCUUCGGUCCGCUAGUAAAGUGGCAGACGGGUGAGUAACACGUGGGUAACCUGCCCGGAGGUGGGGGACAACCCUCCGAAAGGAGGGCUAAUACCGCAUGAUAUCCCUGAGGCUUCGGCCUUGAGGAUCAAAGCUAGCCUCUACAUGUAAGCUAGCUCCACCGGAGGGGCCCGCGGCCCAUUAGCUAGUUGGGAGGUAACGGCUCACCAAGGCGACGAUGGGUAGCCGGCCUGAGAGGGUGUUCGGCCACACUGGAACUGAGACACGGUCCAGACUCCUACGGGAGGCAGCAGUGAGGAAUCUUGCGCAAUGGGCGAAAGCCUGACGCAGCGACGCCGCGUGGAGGACGAAGGUCUUCGGAUCGUAAACUCCUGUCAAGUGGGACGAAGGCUGUUGGGAUGAAUAAGCCCAGCAGUUGACGGUACCGCUGAAGGAAGCCCC
rnacentral:rRNA from 1 species